rnacentral:misc_RNA from 1 species
CGCACCUUGCGCUCCUUGGUAUUCCGAGGAGCGUGCCUGUUUGAGUGUCGUGAAAUCAUCAACUCCCUUACUUUAUUGUGAGGUGGGCUUGGACUUGGGGAUUGCUGGUGUAAAUCAGCUUCUCUUGAAUGCAUUAGCUGGAAUUCAGUUGCAGCAUAUAUGCGGUGUGAUAAUGUCGUCACUGCGUAGCUUGUACUCCGUCUAGCUUCUAAUCGUCCUUCUCUAGGACAAUUUGAUCAUUUUGACCUCAAAUCAGGUAGGACUACCCGCUGAACUUAA